rnacentral:rRNA from 1 species
GACGAACGCUGGCGGCAUGCCUAACACAUGCAAGUCGAGCGAGUUGAUCCCUUCGGGGUGAAGCUAGCGGCGGACGGGUGAGUAACACGUGGGCAACCUGCCUCAUAGAGGGGAAUAGCCUUCCGAAAGGAAGAUUAAUACCGCAUAAGAUUGUAGCUUCGCAUGAAGCAGCAAUUAAAGGAGUAAUCCGCUAUGAGAUGGGCCCGCGGCGCAUUAGCUAGUUGGUGAGGUAACGGCUCACCAAGGCGACGAUGCGUAGCCGACCUGAGAGGGUGAUCGGCCACAUUGGGACUGAGACACGGCCCAGACUCCUACGGGAGGCAGCAGUGGGGAAUAUUGCACAAUGGGGGAAACCCUGAUGCAGCAAUGCCGCGUGAGUGAUGACGGCCUUCGGGUUGUAAAGCUCUGUCUUCGGGGACGAUAAUGACGGUACCCGAGGAGGAAGCCACGGCUAACUACGUGCCAGCCGCCGCCGUAA